rnacentral:rRNA from 1 species
UACGUAGGGCGCAAGCGUUAUCCGGAAUUAUUGGGCGUAAAGAGCUCGUAGGCGGUUUGUCGCGUCUGCCGUGAAAGUCCGGGGCUCAACUCCGGAUCUGCGGUGGGUACGGGCAGACUAGAGUGAUGUAGGGGAGACUGGAAUUCCUGGUGUAGCGGUGAAAUGCGCAGAUAUCAGGAGGAACACCGAUGGCGAAGGCAGGUCUCUGGGCAUUAACUGACGCUGAUGCACGAAAGUGUGGGGAUCAAACAGG